rnacentral:misc_RNA from 1 species
CUCGCGGAGCACACAGUAUAACCUCAGGCAGUCACCAUCAUGCCUCGAGCGCUGGCGGUCGUUCACGUCACAGGAAACUUUACUCGUCGAUCCAAGUAAAUCUCGUGCGGCUUUUGCAUUCAAAGCCGUUCGAGAUUUACUUAAAUCGAUGGUAAAUAUCUUCGUUCGAGAAUAAUUUACAAUCGAGUAUUUAUGAUUGCCCUCCUGCUAGCAGGAAUCAUCGCUCUGAAGAAGCUCAUGUCACAGAAGGGAGGCGGUGGCGGCGGCGGUGGUGGUCAUGAGAGCCACGGCUGGGCAUCAGGCGGCAGCGGCGGAUACGACCGACGUUCGUACAACGACGUCUCUGACAUGGCCUAUUCGGCCUAUAGACAACAAUAGACGACAAGUCUAGCUAAGCGGAAAAAUAGAUGCCUAUUGUUAGGCAAUAGAACGACCUGUUCGGCUUAAGUAUUAAGCUAAAUAGGUCGAAAGUGAAUUAAGGAUUCUAACGUAGCCUUUUGUUUCUAUCUUUACCUUUCUUCAUUCAAAGACUGUUUAAAAGGCUAAUGUUUGAACUAUCUAUUUAUUGUUAGUUAAUUUAUUUAUGAAAUCUUAGGUUAAAUUAUUUAUUUUUAGAUAAGAUAUAUUUUUUUAAUUUAAUUGUAAAUUUAUUUAUUGGUUACACGUUUGUAAUCUGAAGAGCUGACAAUGUAAUCAGCUUUAAUGUGAAUUUAUAUUUCAAGUACAUUUUAUGAAUAGAUGUUUAUUUAUUGCUCAAUAAUUUAUUAAAAUACAUUCUGAACUCUGUUUAAUAUUGUUCAAGGCUCAUUAUUUAAUAAAGUAUAAUAAAUGGAUGUAUCUAGUAAGCGAUGUUACUGUACAGUUUCAAAUAAAUUUAUUUAUUUGUAUAA